rnacentral:lncRNA from 1 species
CUGGUUUCAUAAUGUCUCAGCAAUGGAAUGGCUUUCUUUCAGACUAAAUCUACUGUCCAAUUUUGUAUUUGCUUUCUCAUUGGUCGUGCUGGUGUCGCUUCCUGAUGGAAUCAUUAAUCCAAGUGAGUAUAAUCCAAUAUGGUAAUUUCAGAAGAGGAAAUUUUUUUUUUUACCAAUGACCACUAAUCGAAAAACGAAAAACUUUUCUAACAGGCAUUGCAGGACUGGCUGUUACAUAUGGAAUAAAUUUAAAUGUUCUGCAAGCUUCAGUAAUAUGGAACAUAUGCAAUGCAGAAAACAAGAUUAUCUCAGUAGAGAGAAUACUUCAGUACUCAAACUUAGCUAGUGAAUCAGCACUUGAGAUUGAAGAGUGUAGACCCCAUAAUAACUGGCCUGAAGUUGGAACCAUUUGCUUUAGAAACUUGGAGGUAAGGAAUGUUAACAACCAUCCAUAAUGUUCCAAACAUUAUAUUGUAAAGCUUGAGAUGCGUUUACUAACAUUUUGACUACCUUACAGAUCCGUUAUGCUGAGCAUCUUCCAUCUGUCCUAAACAAUAUUAGCUGCACAUUUCCAGGAAGAAAAAAAAUUGGUGUUGUGGGAAGGACAGGAAGUGGGAAAUCAACACUUAUACAGGCUAUUUUUAGGAUAGUUGAGCCUAGAGAAGGGAGCAUUAUAAUUGACAAUGUGGACAUUUGUAAGAUAGGCCUUCAUGACUUAAGAUCAAGACUUAGUAUUAUACCACAGGACCCUACAAUGUUUGAGGGAACUGUUCGAGGGAACCUUGAUCCUCUCUUGCAAUAUUCGGAUAAUGAAGUAUGGGAGGUAAUUGAUAUUCAUAAAACUUACCCUUAAACUGAAUAUAAUAGACAAAUAUGCAUAUAGUGAUUAGAGUGGCAUGCAUGUGAAAUUUUCAGGCUCUGGAUAAAUGCCAACUUGGUGAGAGAGUGCGUGCAAAGGAAGAAAAGUUGGAUGCUACAGGUGAGGUUUUUAAACUUGGGGAAUUAAUUCAUAGAGUGGCUGUAUCUCAUUUGUUAAUGAAAGGUACUGAUAUUAGAAUGUGUUGAACAGUGAUUGAAAAUGGGGAAAACUGGAGUGUAGGUCAAAGGCAAUUAUUCUGUCUUGGAAGGGCAUUGUUAAAGAAAAGCAGUAUUCUUGUACUGGAUGAAGCAACAGCAUCAGUUGAUUCUGCAACUGAUGGAGUGAUACAGAAGAUUAUUGAUCAAGAGUUCAAAGAUCGGACAGUUGUGACAAUAGCACACAGAAUUCACACUGUUAUAGACAGUGAUCUUAUUUUGGUUCUAAGUGAUGGUAAAACUAUGUAGAUGCUUACAUGCACGGACACACACACACACUUUUUAGAAUUGUUGAAAAACAAAUUGAACCAUUUUGUGUUAACAGGAAGAGUUGCAGAGUUUGAGUCACCUGCGAAACUACUAGAACGAGAGGAUUCAUUAUUCUCUAAGCUUAUAAGGGAGUACUCCAU